rnacentral:misc_RNA from 1 species
GAAAAUUACUGGCGAGGGUUGUAGCUGGCCUUUCGGGGCAUGUGCACACCUGAGCCUUUAAUCCACACACACCUGUGAACCUAAUGUAAGGGCCCGGUAAAAAAAGGCCCCUACGUCUUAUCAUCAACCCCAUGUGUAAUAGAAUGUAAAUCAAUGUCCUCGCCUUUAAAAGCGUUGAUAAAAAAACUUAUACAACUUUCAACAACGGAUCUCUUGGCUCU